AGGGAAACCUGGAGCUCGGGGCCAUUUGAAGACCUCCCUCAGUUCCAUCCUGUUCUGUGGUUUCACAGGAAGCCAAAAUCCCUGGGCAAGCAGAAGGAGCUUUAUGUUUUACAAGCCUUGUGUACAUUUGGGCAGGUUUACUUUCCUGCUUCUUUUCUCUUAGGCUGAUGAUCACAUUCAUCUCAGCCCCGUGUGUGAGCCGGAGAUUCGUCCUCCAGAGACUGGCUGGAUAUGACCUCUGUGUCCACCUCCAUCCGUGGUCCAGGGUGAGCUAUAUCACAGUGGAUCUGUGCCUCAGGACUUCCUGCACGUGUGCUUGACACCUGCCUGCACACCUGUCUGGUGGAGGUGAGCUGCUGGUCCCAUCUCUUCCCUGUUCUGUGCUUGGCAACAUCACUGGGCAGAUGGAAACUGCCUGCAGUGGAGGUAUUCACACCAAGGAGAGACGCAACCGCUACGUGGAGGGGCUUCUCCCUGGGAACAGGUAAUUAGUAAUUUUCCAAGGUCCCUCCCUGGAGAUGCUUGAGGUCACUAGUGUCCUC
rnacentral:lncRNA from 1 species